CGCAUGCGGUGGCAGAUCUGCUGGACAGAGCAGCCGAGUCUAGCAUUUGGAAGGUGGGGGAAGCGCUGCCAGUACUCCAACUAGACCUGAACGGCGCCUGCCCGUCUCUUGACUUGUCGGCGGCAGAUCAGAGCAGUCAACGAGGCACGACGAGCCGCAGGCCCAUGGCUGGAUAAAGAGGCCAUUUUCAAGGACCCGUUCAGGAGGGGUGACAACCUCCUUGUUAUGUGCGACUGCUACACACCACAAGGUGUUCCAAUCCCCACCAACAAGAAGAACAAUGCUGCCAAGAUCUUCAACACCCCGAAGGUUGCAGCUGAGGAGACAUGGUAUGGAAUUGAGCAGGAGUACACUCUCCUCCAGAAGGAUGUGAACUAGCCCGUUGGCUGGCCCAUUGGUGGCUACCCUAGUCCUCAGGCAAGAAAACUCUCAGCAUGCUCUCCAGCUUUCCAUGUGUUAAACUUACAUAAAAA